CCCGUUUCCCUCUUUUUUUAAAGCGAACGCGGGGAACCCGCGGGUUGUGCCGGCUCGGCGCGAAGUCUGCGCGCCCCCGCACGUAGAGAAUAGUUUUAUACAUUUAAAAAAUAAAUGCUAGUGUAACCGAAGAAUAAUUCGCCGAAAUAAUUUAAAAUGUUAAAGAAAGUCUAAUUGGCAGCCAGCUUGUGCUUUUUUUUUUCCUUUUCCCCUCGCUGGUUGCUCGCUUUGUACAGGAAAUUUGAAUAUCCUGGCAAGGGCCAGCUUCCCAGGGCAGCCUCGCAGCGCUUUGGGAGCGGCAGUGAUGGAGCAACUUGCGCAGCGCAGGGACUUUUCCCCCUCUAAUUGAUCCUACGUACAAUAUUUUUCCCAUAUUUGCAUCAGGUAUAUAAAGACAAUUUUUUUGCGUUUGGAGAGUGAGUUUUCCAAGGCUAAAUCAUUAAUUGCUCCCCACAAAAACCUGAAAUUCUGCUUGUGUGUUGUAUGCGUGUUAAGUGUAGGUGAGGGACCAUCUGCCAAGUUUCAUCAUCUUCUGUUCUGAAGAAAUCCAAAGAGCUCACCGGCAACUGCAAAAGUCUGUAUUUAGUUAAUCGACUUUGGUGGGAAAUACAGCAAAACUGAGCUACUAAUGCAGUAAACGUUUAUUAAAUAUAAGAGGGAAGCUUUAAGUAAUGCUUCAGGCAAACUGACCCAAAUCUAAGAAGGAAAAAAAAAGUCAAUGUGUUUCUUAUAUUUUGAAUUACUCUUCAUCUGACUAAAAAAGAAAUACGGUUUUUUUUGUUUGUUUUUUUCCUGUUCUUAACAAAUAAACUUUAUAGGAAUUGGACUUUCAAAUCUGACCCUUGUUGUUUAGAAGUGGAUGAGAUGACAAUGCUAAAACUUGGAAGUAAGAAAAAGCAUCAUACUUUUCUUCUCCUCAGCAGUGUUGAGAAAAAACUGUGGAUCCUGGAAUUUUACUGUGGAUUUUACUGGUUUUCUGGAGUGCUCUCCCACUGAAGCAGCAAUCUGAUUGUGUCCAGAGAGUCCAUGCAGGAGCUGGUGUGCCUGUGUUCAGAGGUGAGUUGGGAAGGUAAGCUCAUGUCCCACCUGCUCCAAAAUACCUGCAGCAUCUGCAGCCCUCUGGGUAAAUGCAAGUCCCUCUGACAUGCAUAUCCCUUCUCGAGUACUGCAGGUAAUACCUUGGAGACAUUCAAGUGAACUCAAAUUACCCUGUUCAGCUGCCAAUUUCUGAUUUAAAGUUGAGUUUCCAAAGCACAAACUAAGUUUGAAAGAAGCUGAAGUGGGACAUGGGAUAAUUCAAACAUGAAACUUUCUAUUGCACAAAAUAUUGAUGCUGUCAUGUCAUAAAUGUGCAUAUUUUUUCAGAUUUAUAGUUCACUGCCUGUCCCAAAUUUCCAGUUGCCCAAUACUUGGUGUGACUGUUGAUUUUCCCUCUGUGCUAGAGGUUGGUGGAGGUGUACUAAACCCUUGCUUUGAAAAGUCCUCCUUACUGAAGAAAGCUUCCUGCCCUUGUUGUUGAACUAAGCAAAAGUCUGGUUUAUACAAAUAUAAAAACAUUAAUUAAAAUGUGAACCUCAAACACCAUCAAAAUGGAUUCUAAAGCUGAACCUGUUUGCUGUUGCUUUUUUCUUUUGAAUUCAUUUGAAGAGAUGAAAGAAAUAAGAUUGCACAGGUACAGUCAAGUAAAACAUUGUUACAGAAGUAAUUAAUGGUAAUAUUAUGUGGGGGGAUGUGAUUUAGCUCGUACAGGCUUAGCACUGGGUACGUGUUUGCUUUGCAGCAAGUAGCACCUGCUCAUUAGGGAGUUGGCCCUGGUGUUGUCAGUGUUGAGGACACUGAAGGGGUGAAAAUAUACUGGUUUUUUGUUGGCAAAUAUUUGAUUUCAAAUUUGAAAUCACUUGGCAUGGGUCACAAGAGCUUUUGAAAUUCCUAUUUUUAAGUUUGCUGAAGAGGCAGGGACUCAGCACGUUGGGCACGAGGGGAUGGCACAAGAAUUCUUACCCAAGGCGUCAUUUCUGACAUUGUUCAGGUUUUUUUGUGAUGCUGCUUUUUAAGAAAAUGAAUUGAAGGAAGUUGUCACAUAGCUGGGGGGGGGAGGGUUGGUUGAAAGGAAAUACAAAAAAUAUCAGUCUGUUUGCACGGCUCCUGUGCAGCCCAGGCAGGCUGGUGUGUAAGUGCCACUGGCAGCUCCCUUCUGCAGGGCUGCAGCCUCUCCCUGCCCUGUUCUGGUGCUUUCUGCUCUGGUACAGCCAGGGAAUGUGAUGAAGUUCCAGAGAUCUUUAAUUGCUCAUCGUAUAAGGUUUGUCCAUUCACAUUGUAAAUAAGCAUAAUUUAAUAUUUUCAAAAAUAGGGAAUUUUUUACGUAUGUCAAAAGUCAAAUUGAGCUGAUUAGAAGUAUUUUAAGGAAAAUUUAACAGGUUUCAACUAUUGGAAUCUGGAUUUAUUUAUCUGAAAUAUUAACAUUGUGACUUUUGGAAAAUCUUUGAUAUUCAACAUCACCUAAGAGAAAAGUACAAGGUAGUGUUUCCCCACAGACCAGUUGGAAGGGCUGGGAAGUUCUUCAGGCUCUUCACAGUAGCAAAAGCAACAGAUCAGCUGGAUCUGAAAGUGUAUUAUUUGCUGGGACCCAAUACUAAGUGUGGUUUGGGGCUGGGGGGAGCAGUUAAUUUCUGAUGUUUCUGAAACUGGUUUGUUUGCACUGUAUAACUGCUUGUUCUCUUAUAGUUACAGACUGUCUGAUAGCACCUGUGAAGAAAAAAAAAGCCCUGUCCUGUGGUGGUAAUGCAUGCAUGUUAAAUGUCUUCAUUGUAGAGUGUUCUUCAGUUCUUUAUAUCAUAGUUUUU